rnacentral:rRNA from 1 species
UACGAAGGGGGCUAGCGUUGCUCGGAAUCACUGGGCGUAAAGCGCACGUAGGCGGAUCCUUAAGUCGGGGGUGAAAUCCUGGAGCUCAACUCCAGAACUGCCUUUGAUACUGGAAAGCUUGAGUUCGGGAGAGGUGAGUGGAACUGCGAGUGUAGAGGUGAAAUUCGUAGAUAUUCGCAAGAACACCAGUGGCGAAGGCGGCUCACUGGCCCGAUACUGACGCUGAGGUGCGAAAGCGUGGGGAGCAAACAGG